rnacentral:rRNA from 1 species
GAAUAUUGGACAAUGGGCGAAAGCCUGAUCCAGCAAUGCCGCGUGAGUGAUGAAGGCCUUAGGGUUGUAAAGCUCUUUUACCAGGGAUGAUAAUGUCAGUACCUGGAGAAUAAGCUCCGGCUAACUCCGUGCCAGCAGCCGCGGUAAUACGGAGGGAGCUAGCGUUGGUCGGAAUUCCUGGGCGUAAAGCGCGCGUAGGCGGCUUUUUAAGUCAGAGGUGAAAUCCCAGGGCUCAACCCUGGAACGGCCUUUGAAACUGGAGAGCUAGAAUACUGGAGAGGGGAGUGGAAUUCCGAGUGUAGAGGUGAAAUUCGUAGAUAUUCGGAAGAACACCAAUGGCGAAGGCGACUCACUGGACAGUUAUUGACGCUGAGGUGCGAAAGCGUGGGGAGCAAACAGG